GAAGCAGAGAUAGUGUGUAUCGGCGUUGUGCUAUUUGAUGCACUUUGACUGAAAGAGUUCUCUGCAACAUUAAUGUGACAUGGGAAAGGUGGGCAGUUGUGCUCCAUUUUUCUUGAUUGGAUUCUUCAACAAUCAUUUUUCCCACAUUC